GACGAACGCUGGCGGCGUGCUUAACACAUGCAAGUCGAACGGUAAGGCCCUUCGGGGUACACGAGUGGCGAACGGGUGAGUAACACGUGGGUGAUCUGCCCUGCACUUCGGGAUAAGCCUGGGAAACUGGGUCUAAUACCGGUUAGGACCCCUGCCUGCAUGGGUGGCGGUGGAAAGCUUUUGCGGUGUGGGAUGGGCCCGCGGCCUAUCAGCUUGUUGGUGGGGUGAUGGCCUACCAAGGCGACGACGGGUAGCCGGCCUGAGAGGGUGACCGGCCACACUGGGACUGAGAUACGGCUCAGACUCCUACGGGAGGCAGCAGUGGGGAAUAUUGCACAAUGGGCGCAAGCCUGAUGCAGCAACGCCGCGUGAGGGAUGACGGCCUUCGGGUUGUAAACCUCUUUCAGCACCGACGAAGCGCAAGUGACGGUAGGUGCAGAAGAAGGACCGGCCAACUACGUGCCAGCAGCCGCGGUAA
rnacentral:rRNA from 1 species